GCUGACACAUCCCGGCUAAGCUCCAGCAGACCCUCCCUCCCAGACCCUCCCACCUCCUGGACAGCAUCCAUGUUGAAGCUGCCAUCCAUGUUGAAGCUGCCUUCAACAUGGAUGCUGUCCAGGAGGUGGGAGGGUCUGGGAGGGAGGGUCUGCUGGAGCUUGGCUGGGAUGUGUCAG